rnacentral:rRNA from 1 species
CCGGAGCUUCUUCUCCCGCUACAGUCAUCAUCUUCACGGGUGAAAGAGUUUUACAACCCUAGGGCCUUCUUCACUCACGCGGCAUCGCUGGAUCAGGGUUUCCCCCAUUGUCCAAUAUUCCCCA